rnacentral:rRNA from 1 species
AGUGAACGCUGGCGGUAGGCCUAACACAUGCAAGUCGAACGGCAGCACAGGAGAGCUUGCUCUCUGGGUGGCGAGUGGCGGACGGGUGAGGAAUACAUCGGAAUCUGCCCAGUCGUGGGGGAUAACGUAGGGAAACUUACGCUAAUACCGCAUACGACCUUCGGGUGAAAGAGGGGGAUCGCAAGACCUCUCGCGAUUGGAUGAGCCGAUGUCGGAUUAGCUAGUUGGCGGGGUAAUGGCCCACCAAGGCGACGAUCCGUAGCUGGUCUGAGAGGAUGAUCAGCCACACUGGAACUGAGACACGGUCCAGACUCCUACGGGAGGCAGCAGUGGGGAAUAUUGGACAGUGGGCGCAAGCCUGAUCCAGCCAUACCGCGUGGGUGAAGAAGGCCUUCGGGUUGUAAAGCCCUUUUGUUGGGAAAGAAAUCUUUCAGGCUAAUACCCUGGGAGGAUGACGGUACCCAAAGAAUAAGCACCGGCUAACUUCGUG